GGAGGACAUCCAUGGAGAAGAAGGAGUGAGAGGUAAAGCUGAAAAUGAGACUGCAACACAGAAUUUCAAGAAGGUCUUCCCUUCUUGAAAGAAAAUAAUAUCACUCCUUCACUUCACAGGCUUUGAAGUUGUGAUCACCUUAUUCAUGUGAGGCUGUGGCUAUUAAGUCACACAACAUUACUAUGUUCCCUCCCCACACACAUAUAAAGCCUGGUUUUAAAAGCAAUGCAUGUUGAUUUUAACAAACAAAUAAAAUGCAGAAAAACAUAAAGAAGAGAAUAAAAAGUAUUCAUCAUAUACUCUCUAAAGAAAACUUGUAUUAAUAUUUUUGUGUAUAUAAUACCAGAUUUCAUGAAUUAUAUAUAUAUUAUAUAUGUUAGCACAUAUAAUAUCUUUUAAAACAAAGUUAGAAUUAUGUAUAAAUACAUUUUAUACUCUCUUUUCUAGUUAAGUAGUGUAGAUAUCUUUCUUUGUCAAUAAGUAUGUACAACAUCAUUUAUAGUGGUUGCUUCAUACUCUCUUACCAUAUUCCACGAACUAUGGUAAAUUUAACCAUUUUAGGAAGGAUAUUUAAUUUGUUUCAAUUUUUAAAACUUGUAUAUCAGGUGCUCUGUGUUUUUGGUUCAACAUGUGAGAAGCUUGGAAGUCACCACUUUGCCCUAACACGAAGUAAAAAGCUGAUCAAAGUGAAAAUUCAGCCCUUCUUCGAUCCUUAAGAGAAGUGAGGUUACAGGGCAAACCACUGUCCCCAAAAUCAAAGACACUGAUAGGUGAAUACAGAGAAUGACAAUUUACCAGAGCAGGAACCCAAGAGCAGAAACCCCUUUGGGAACCAAUGCCAAGGCAGGGAAACCUGAACUGUAAUUGAAAAAUUGCUUGAGGCUCAGUGUGAACAAGACUAAGUGCUAAAAACUCCAAGGAGACCCAAUCAUCAGGAGAGGGGGCACGCUUUCAUGAGCUUUGUCUCUUAGAGUUCCACAAAGUCCUCACAGUGAAUAUCAGAGAAAAAUCCUCUUGUGCUUUUGGUAGUGGGAGGGGAAAAGGAACCAUUUGAGAUAUAUCGAAUAUUCUUUUCUUCUUCUCAAGUUUUGCAGUCAGGAAAAAUAUUUAACCAGUGCCUAACCUGCUGGGGUUUUAUGAGAGCUUAACUGACCUAGGGGAAAGAGAUUCCCAACUCCAGCCCCUUCUAUCCUUCCAUGUGGGAGAAAGGGAAUACUCAACACCAGCACACUCUAGCCAUCCCAUCUCACGUAAAGAGAGGGCAAAACAUUGAGAAGCACUUACAGAGUUCAUAGUACAAAGGCACAGUUCCACUAAAAGACAAGACCUAAUUACAGGACUGUAGUAAGCUUCCCCUCCGCCCACAACUUACCACCACAUUACUAAAGGCCUAUUGCAGCAGUUCUUUCAUUUCUAAUUUUCUUUGAGUUUUUCUCUUUUUUAGUUAUUCUAGCCAAAGAUUUGCCAAUUUCGUCUUUUUUUAAAAAAAAAAAAAGUAACCUCAGUUUUGUUGAUUUUCUUUUACUGUUUUUCUCUUCUCUAUUGGGUUAAUAUUUGCUUUAAUCUUUGCUAUGUCCUUCCAUUUCUAUCUUUGUACUUGGUUUAUUCUUUUUCUGGUUUCUUAAGAUAUAAAGCUCUGAUGAUUAUUUGAGAUUUUUUUUUCUUUUAAUGCAGACAUUUACCCCUAUAAACUUCUCUCUUAGCACUGUUUUUGCUGUAUUCCAUAGGUAUUGAUGUGUUUUUACUUUCAUUUGUCUCAAUAUUUUCUAAUUAUCCUUUUGAUUUAUUCUUUGACCCAUUGGUUGUUUAGGAGUAUCUUGUUAACUUAAACAUAUUUGUGAAUUUUCAAAUUUAUUUUGCUAUUGAUUUUUAGUUUCAUUUUAUUAAAAAGAUAAUUGGUAUUAUGUCAGUAUUCUUAUAUUUAAGUCCUGCUUUGUGGCCUAACGUGUGGUCUAUAAAUGUGUGUUUGAGAAAAAUGUAUGUUCUGCUGCUGUUGGGUAGAAAUUCUGCACAUUAAAUGGAUAUUUUGUCUUCUGUUUCCCUCUCCAGAGAGAAGCCUGGAGCUGGGAUUUGUCUCCAGUCAUGCUGCGUUGAGCUGUAGGUAGAGGCUAGGAUCCAUCAAAUGUUUGAAAAAUAUUAGAAUUGGAGCCAACACACAAAUGUAAAAGACUAUUGGCUGAGCAAUGAAGAUAAAGCAACAAACAAGACAAAGUUCCUGCAACUGUGGAACUUCCAUAUGCGUGAAGAAAUGAGGCACUUGACAAGUAAUGACAUUUAUUUUCCCUUAUCUCCCUUAUAUGAAGCAGUGAGCCCAUUACUUUCCAAACAACUGGAGUUCUACCACACACACAUCAGGAUUUCUUAGCUAAAGAGAAAUGGAGUCUUUUCAGUGUGCCCUAAAGGAGGUGGUAAGGAACUGAACCGUAUAUUUUCACAUCUGGUUUGUAGCGUGUUGAAGUCCUAAGUGAAAAGAGCUGAGAGGCAGAGUAAGACAGCCAAAUAGAAAGCCCUACCUAUUGUUUCCCUGAGCAAGGACACCAAAUUAACAGCUAUCUAUAUGAAAAAAACACCUCCAUAAGAACCAAAAAAGAGGUGAGCACUCAUAGUACCUAGUAUUAACUUUACAUCGCUGAAAGAGGCACUGAAGAGACUGAAAAAACAGUCCUGGCCAGGAGUGGUGGCUCAUGCUUGUAAUCCCAGCACUUUGGGAGGCUGAGGCAAGCGGAUUACCUGAGGUCAGGAGUUCAAGACCAGCCUGGCCAGCGUGGUGAAACGCUAUCUCUACUAAAAAUACAAAAUUAGCCAGGUGUUUUGGCACAUGACUGUAAUCCCAGCUACUCAGGAGGCUGAGACAGGAAAAUCUCUUGAACCCAGGAGGGAGAAGUUGCAGUGAGCUGAGAUUGUGCCACUGCACUCCAGCCUGAGAGACAGAGCAAGACUCCAUCUCAAAAAAAAAAAAAGAAA
rnacentral:lncRNA from 1 species